UACAGAGGGUGCGAGCGUUAAUCGGAAUUACUGGGCGUAAAGCGUGCGUAGACGGUUAUUUAAGUCGGGUGUGAAAGCCCCGGGCUCAACCUGGGAAUGGCAUUGGAUACUGGCGAUCUAGAGUGCGGUAGAGGGCAGUGGAAUUCCCGGUGUAGCAGUGAAAUGCGUAGAGAUCGGGAGGAACAUCUGUGGCGAAGGCGACUGCCUGGACCAGCACUGACACUGAGGCACGAAAGCGUGGGGAGCAAACAGG
rnacentral:rRNA from 1 species